CCUCAUCCUCUCCCGCCCCACCUCGGCCACCGGAUCCCUGUACGUACAACACCUAGCUCCAGGCAGCUGCCGCAUGGUGGGGAAUGGUGGAGGCUGAAGGCACAGGCCAUGACGCUGGUGCAGGUUGAGCCUCCACUUCCACACAGAUUCAUCUCCCUCCAUGGAUGACCAGGUGGGGUUCUUUCCACCUCUUUUCCCCCAUUCCUAAUCUUUCUACUUGCUCCAUAUUUUUUCUUCCUUUUCUCUGCCUCUGAGUUUGGUUUCUUAAUUUUUAUUCAGAUUUUCAGGAAUUGCUGGUGCAACCAAUGGACAUGAAACACCCAAGAAGGUGACACUAGAUCAGGAACUAACUUUUUUUGUACUCUGUUUGUACUCCAUUUGAUUCUGAUAUUUUCUCUUCUUUUCUGAAUAUAUGAUGCCUGGGAAAAAUGCAUUGUAUGAUAUUAUAUUGGAGAAAAGAAGCGCCCUAUGGGUUCUCCUAACAGUGCAAGGUUAGAUUCUACUUUUUAUGUUGUUGAUUAUGGUAGAUUGGGAAUGCAUAAGUACGAGCUGAAUAACUUACUGCUCUUGUUUUCUUUCGCUUUUCUCAUAGAAGAACCAGUGCUAGCAAAAUAACAGUUAAUUUAC
rnacentral:lncRNA from 1 species